CUUCCUAUGGAUAGAAACAAGUGCAUGUGGGUACGAGAUAACUACAAUUCUCAUGCAAUCCCGAAAAGGGGGGUCAUCACAGACAAACAUGACAUUAAAUCGUUAUCACUGAACUAGUAUAUAUAUUGUAUAGGGGCUAGCUGAAGGACGCCUCCGGGUGCGGGAAUUUUUCGCUGCAUUGAAGACCUGUUGGUGACCUUAAUUCUGCUGUUGUAUGUUUUUCUAUGGUCGGGUUGUUGUCUCUUUGACAAAUUCCCCAUUUCCAUUCUCAAUUUUAUUAUACGAACAAGAACAAACAGCUCUACGUUGCUUUGAUAUUUAUCAAUUUUCAGGAAACAUUGCGAAAAAUGAUCUUCAAUAUUUCGAAAACAUGUGAAAUAAAAUUGCUAACACGGUGGACCUUCGAGUGUCAACAAACGUAGUAGACUUGUUCACUGAAAAGACGAGGAUAAUGGUUUCAUUUGACAUUUG
rnacentral:lncRNA from 1 species